GGCCACGUGGCGAAGUAGCUAACGCGACGGUCUGCAAAACCGUUAUACAUGGGUGCAAUUCCCAUCGUGGCCU
rnacentral:tRNA from 1 species